rnacentral:rRNA from 1 species
UACGUAGGGUGCAAGCGUUUGUCCGGAAUUAUUGGGCGUAAAGAGCUCGUAGGCGGUCUGUCGCGUCUGCUGUGAAAACUCGGGGCUUAACCCCGGGCCUGCAGUGGGUACGGGCAGACUAGAGUGCGGUAGGGGAGACUGGAAUUCCUGGUGUAGCGGUGAAAUGCGCAGAUAUCAGGAGGAACACCGGUGGCGAAGGCGGGUCUCUGGGCCGUAACUGACG